UUACAAGGGGUUUUGUCUUACAAAACUUUGUGUAAGAAGAUUGGCUUCUCAUUUGUGUUCAAUUCACGCCUUCGUGAUCUCUUUGGGAGCUCUAAUUCCAACUAUGAAUAACAAUUUUUAAGAUUCCUCCAUGCAUCAAACCUAAGAUGUGUAGGGAACAAUACCUGUCCUAAUAACAGGAAUUGUGGAAACAAAUCAGUACCAAAAAAAAACCUAACAAAAACAAAGAGCUAAUCACUCAACACAAGAUAUUAUAUCUAUUGAAUAUU